rnacentral:rRNA from 1 species
CUAGCUGUAAACGAUGGAUACUAGGCGUUGAGAGUAUCGACCCUCUCAGUGUCGUAGCUAACGCGUUAAGUAUCCCGCCUGGGGAGUACGCGCGCAAGCGUGAAACUCAAGGGAAUUGACGGGGGCCCGCACAAGCGGUGGAGUAUGUGGUUUAAUUCGAUGCAACGCGAAGAACCUUACCAGGGCAUGACAUGUCCGGAACCCUGCCCAAAGGCGGGGGUGCCUACGGGAACCGGAACACAGGUGGUGC